CUCCAGCUGACAGACAAGGUCCACUUCUACCACUACCACUGGCUAGAGGUCACAUAUCUCGGUACAGGUCUCCAGCUGACAGACAAGGUCCACUUCUACCACUACCACUGGCUAGAGGUCACAUAUCUCAGUACAGGUCUCCAGCUGACAGACAAGGUCCACUUCUACCACUACCACUGGCUAGAGGUCACAUAUCACGGUACAGGUCUCCAGCUGACAGACAAGGUCCACUUCUACAACUACCACUGGCUAGAGGUCACAUAUCACGGUACAGGUCUCCAGCUGACAGACAAGGUCCACUUCUACCACUACCACUGGCUAGAGGUCACAUAUGUCGGUACAGGUCUCCAGCUGACAGACAAGGUCCACUUCUACCACUACCACUGGCUAGAGGUCACAUAUCACGGUACAGGUCUCCAGCUGACAGACAAGGUCCACUUCUACCACUACCACUGGCUAGAGGUCACAUAUGUCGGUACAGGUCUCCAGCUGACAGACAAGGUCCACUUCUACCACUACCACUGGCUAGAGGUCACAUAUGUCGGUACAGGUCUCCAGCUGACAGACACUUCACUCACUAUGCCUGGUUAGGAAAGUUAUAUGCCACAGCAAACUGUGUCAGCUCUAGCACUGUAGGAAAGGCAGGGCAGGGGGUGGCAAGAGCCAGAUCAUUGUGUAGUGUAUGGUGCUUUAACAAUUUGAUAUUGCCCUAACUCUGAGAACAACAUGCUAGAGCCUGUCCCUUUGCCCAUGUUUAAGUAAGUGAGCAUGGUUUUACGCUGCUUUUAGCAAUAUUGCAGCAAUAUUACAGAGGGUUUGAAAAUGGGCUUCAAACA